rnacentral:rRNA from 1 species
GUUGAACGCUGGCGGCGUGCCUAAUACAUGCAAGUAGAACGCUGAAGGAGGAGCUUGCUCUUCUGGAUGAGUUGCGAACGGGUGAGUAACGCGUAGGUAACCUGCCUGGUAGCGGGGGAUAACUAUUGGAAACGAUAGCUAAUACCGCAUGACAACAGUUAUUGCAUGAUAACUGUUUAAAAGGGGCAACUGCUCCACUACCAGAUGGACCUGCGUUGUAUUAGCUAGUUGGUGAGGUAACGGCUCACCAAGGCGACGAUACAUAGCCGACCUGAGAGGGUGAUCGGCCACACUGGGACUGAGACACGGCCCAGACUCCUACGGGAGGCAGCAGUAGGGAAUCUUCGGCAAUGGACGGAAGUCUGACCGAGCAACGCCGCGUGAGUGAAGAAGGUUUUCGGAUCGUAAAGCUCUGUUGUAAGAGAAGAACGAGUGUGAGAGUGGAAAGUUCACACUGUGACGGUAUCUUACCAGAAAGGGACGGCUAACUACGUG